UGGGGAAUUUUGGACAAUGGGCGCAAGCCUGAUCCAGCCAUGCCGCGUGCGGGAAGAAGGCCUUCGGGUUGUAAACCGCUUUUGUCAGGGAAGAAAUCUUCUGAGUUAAUACCUCGGGAGGAUGACGGUACCUGAAGAAUAAGCACCGGCUAACUACGUGCCAGCAGCCGCGGUAAUACGUAGGGUGCAAGCGUUAAUCGGAAUUACUGGGCGUAAAGCGUGCGCAGGCGGUUUUGUAAGACAGAGGUGAAAUCCCCGGGCUCAACCUGGGAACUGCCUUUGUGACUGCAAGGCUUGAGUGCGGCAGAGGGGGAUGGAAUUCCGCGUGUAGCAGUGAAAUGCGUAGAUAUGCGGAGGAACACCGAUGGCGAAGGCAAUCCCCUGGGCCUGCACUGACGCUCAUGCACGAAAGCGUGGGGAGCAAAACAGGAUUAGAUAGCCCUGGUAGUCCACGCCCUAAAACGAUGUCAACUGGUUGUUGGGAAGGUUCCUUCUCAGUAACGUAGCUAACGCGUGAAGUUGACCGCCUGGGGAGUACGGCCGCAAGGUUGAAACUUAAAUGAAUUGACGGGGUCAUAGC
rnacentral:rRNA from 1 species